CCUGAUGCAGCAACGCCGCGUGAGGGAUGACGGCCUUCGGGUUGUAAACCUCUUUUAGUUGGGAAGAAGGGAGCUUGCUCUUGACGGUACCUUCAGAAAAAGCACCGGCUAACUACGUGCCAGCAGCCGCGGUAAUACGUAGGGUGCAAGCGUUGUCCGGAAUUAUUGGGCGUAAAGAGCUCGUAGGCGGUUUGUCGCGUCUGCUGUGAAAUCUGGGGGCUCAACCCCCAGCCUGCAGUGGGUACGGGCAAACUAGAGUGCGGUAGGGGAGAUUGGAAUUCCUGGUGUAGCGGUGGAAUGCGCAGAUAUCAGGAGGAACACCGAUGGCGAAGGCAGAUCUCUGGGCCGUUACUGACGCUGAGGAGCGAAAGCAUGGGGAGCGAACAGGAUUAGAUACCCUGGUAGUCCAUGCCGUAAACGUUGGGAACUAGAUGUAGGGGCCAUUCCACGGUUUCUGUGUCGCAGCUAACGCAUUAAGUUCCCCGCCUGGGGAGUACGGCCGCAAGGCUAAAACUCAAAGGAAUUGACGGGGGCCCGCACAAGCGGCGGAGCAUGCGGAUUAAUUCGAUGCAACGCGAAGAACCUUACCAAGGCUUGACAUAUACCGGAAACGUCCAGAGAUGGUCGCCCCCGCA
rnacentral:rRNA from 1 species